AAUAAAUUAAUGCUAAAAAAAUUCGGGAUUUUACAAGAAGCAAGUCCAACCAUGAUGAAAACUCGAAGAAGGAAGAAAAUGAAAACUCAUUUGUCCUAAUGGAAGCGAAUGCUAGGAGAAGGCGAAAUCAGAGAUCAUCAAGAAAGAUAGCCCCGUUAACUCAAAUAGUGACCAAUAUGGCAACCAAACUUCAAUGUGUUGAUGUUGAAAAUACUGCCAUUAAGUAAUUCUUGAUGCACAACAUUUUUGCCUCUACGAAUAGAGAGAGUAAGAUUAGAGCCGAAGGAUCAUCAUGAAAUCAAAGCACACAAUUAUCCUAACCAAGCAGUUGACCUGUCUUUUUACUCAUGAAGAAGAACCCAGCUAUCCUAUGGUAAGAAAUAGGUAUCCUCUUAGUGUGCCGAUGUUUUUUAUAGGAUAGGUGGAGAAAAGGAAUCCCUUUCAAAGAAAGUGGGUGUAAGGCAUAGGAGGUGUACAAUAGAGAUAUAUCGAAAUUAUAGAUAAGGAAAAAGCUCAAAUGUUAAGCUGGAUGGCCUCAAGGCCCCGCCUACCUCAAUGCCAUUAUUGCAUGACUGAAGAAUACACAAAAAUCC
rnacentral:lncRNA from 1 species